CAGCGCCACGAGUGGCAACCGCGAUUAUUGGGCCUAAAGCGUCCGUAGCCGGUUUGGUAAAUCUUUUGUGAAAUUGUACAGCUCAACUGUACAGCGUGCAAGAGACACUGCCAAACUCGAGACCGGGAGGAGUCAGAAGUAUUCCAGGGGGAGCGGUAAAAUGUUAUAAUCCCUGGAGGACUACCUGUGGCGAAGGCGUCUGACCAGAACGGAUCUGACGGUGAGGGACGAAAGCCAGGGGAGCGAACCGGAUUAGAGACCCCAGUAGUCC
rnacentral:rRNA from 1 species